CUCAGCCGGGCUAACUUGACGACUAUUAAGACAUCACAAAAUGUUGUCUUUAAAAGGGAAUCGGGGCCGAGAAAGAGACAAAGCAGAAUUGGGGCGAACCUUCUUCUUGUGGAAACAGAUUUUUUAACAGUAUGUCUCAAGCCCUAAAGAAGUACAUUGUUUUGAAGACAGAAAUAGAG